GACGAACGCUGGCGGCGUGCUUAACACAUGCCAGUCGAACGGAAAGGCCCUGCUUUUGUGGGGUGCUCGAGUGGCGAAAGGGUGAGUAACACGUGAGUAACCUGCCCUUGACUUUGGGAUAACUUCAGGAAACUGGGGCUAAUAACGGAUAGGAGCUCCUGCUGCAUGGUGGGGGUUGGAAAGUUUCGGCGGUUGGGGAUGGACUCGCGGCUUAUCAGCUUGUUGGUGGGGUAGUGGCUUACCAAUGCUUUGACGGGUAGCCGGCCUGAGAGGGUGACCGGCCACAUUGGGACGGAGAUACGGCCCAGACUCCUACGGGAGGCAGCAGUGGGGAAUAUUGCACAAUGGGCGGAAGCCUGAUGCAGCAACGCCGCGUGCGGGAUGACGGCCUUCGGGUUGUAAACCGCUUUCGCCUGUGACGAAGCGUGAGUGACGGUAAUGGGUAAAGAAGCACCGGCUAACUACGUG
rnacentral:rRNA from 1 species